UCAGAUGCUGUGGUAGGUAGUCUCUAAAAUGAUGCCAAUAAUCGCCCACUUCCUGGUACUUAUGCACUUCUAUUAUACCCUCUCCUUGACAGUGGCCUAGACUUACUGACUCAAUUCUAGCUAACAUAAUACAGCAGAAAUGAUGGGAUUUCACCUCUAAGAUUAAACUACAAAAAGAACUAUAGUUUCCAUCUCUUCCUCCCCUCCCCCAUUCUUGGAGAAGCAAGCUUCCAUAUUGUGAGCAGACCAAUGGAGAGGCCCAUGUGGCAAAGAAAUAAUUUUUCUGGCCAACAUCCAGCAAGGACCUGAAGCCUCCAACAGCAACGUGAGUGAGUCACAUGAGUGGAUUCUGCUCCAGUUGAGCCUUGAGAUGACUGCAGCCCAACCUAUCUCAUGGGUUAGCCCAAGUCACCCAGCAAAACCAAGCUUGGAUUCCUGACCCACAGAAAUUACCUCAAGAACUACCCGUGAUUGUGGACCUGUUUAUCUUCAUCCUAAUCUUGGAGAGUCUGCAUCUGAAGUUUCUCAUAAUAAGUAUGAGGAUAUUUUCCAAAGAUGAGUAAUUGGACUCAGAGAAGAAAAGUAACCCUGGUGACAAGUGUAACUAGGAUUCACUCACACCCCCGUCUGUCAUCUCCAAGCUCUUUCUGCAGUUAAGUAUCCCUUAUCUCAAAUGCUUGGGACCAGAAGUGUUUUGGAUUUUGAACUUAAUUUUAAGAUUUUGGAAUAUUUCCACAUGCAUAGUGAGAUAUCUUGGAGCUGGGACCCAAUUCUUAACACAAAAUUCAUCUAUGUUUUGCAUGCACCUUGUACACAUAGCCUGAAGAUGAUAUUAUAUGAUACUUUCAAUAAUUCUGCACAUGAAACAAAACUUUGAUUUUGUUUUUACUGUGAUCCACGUGAGGUCACAUGGGGAAUUUCCCACUUGUGGUAUCAGAUUGGCUGUCAGAAAGUUUUGGAUUUGGGGGCAUUUUGGAUUUGAGAGCAUUUUGGAUUGGAGAUUUUGGGAUUAGGAAUGCUCAACCUGUAUUAUCCUUUAUGUAUAUGGCCUUUUGUACUCCCACCUCACAAGAUCUGAUAGGCUCAGGAAAUUUUGCAAGAUAUUAAAGAUUGCUUAUUGUACUUUAAUAAGUGGAUGGCCCAAACUUGCUUUAUGCUUAAAUUUGAUAAGAUUAGUCUCUAAGAGAAAAAGAACUUCAUUGUCCUUUCUACUGUGAAAGGAUGAGUUGAGGGAUAAGCUAUCACACAUAACUCUUUUUUCUCCAAGUUACAGGAGGUUGAAGGGGAGAAUCCAGAGGCUGUGGAUGGCAGUAGCAAUGGAGUCAAAAUUAUCAUUCAACUCUUACACCCCACAAAACUCUAAUACUGUGAUCUCAGGACUACGUCCUUUCUUUCCCUGUCCCAUUUAUAUCAGUCGGGGUCUGCUCAGAAAAACAGAAGCCACUCUAAGUAUAUAGAGUAAGAAAUGGUUUAACAUAGAAAUUAAAGGUUGGGCAAGUAAAGAUCAGGAAGGCCACUUUUAGGAAACUUUGAAGUGCAGUGCUUGUGCCACAACCAAUCAUUUCAGUUGCUGGGAGCACUGACUUGGUGAUUCUUAGGAGGAUACCCAAAAGCAGUGAGAAAAUUCCACACUGCCUCUACUCUCCCAGUAGCUGCUGUGAAGAACAAUGGCUUCCCCUUCUCUUCUACCCUCUAAAUUUCAUGCAACUUCCUGUUAUUGGUGAAAUCCAAUUGGGAUCCCAUUUGCAAUGGAGGAUAGAAAUUGUAAGUGUAAUUUCUAGACUUUAUGCUCCUGGGGACAGGGAAAAGUAUAGGAUAACAGAGAUGAUACUGAGCACUAACAAAUUAUAUGUGGUACACUAUGUCUAUUUGUUCACCAUCAUUGGUAAAAACUCACAAAUACAUGUUGAUUGAAUUAAUGAAUGCAGAGGGUCCCAGUUCUGGAACAGGAUUCCUGGCUGGGAAUCAAGAUUCUUCUGCACCCUCAUUCAGUGAUGCCACGUGCUCCAGGCCCUGAUGGCACUGUGAAGACCUUACUGGCUUGCUGCUGACUUUACUGUAGAAGAAGCAUGACAGCACUGUGUGUUCCUCAUCUUUCACUGAGGUGGGCUGUGUCACUGCAUCAGAUGCCACUGAUGUAAAGGUAUGGACCCUGCCCCCGGUCUCAACAAUGUGAUCAUCCACCAUCACUUCCUCAUCAUUCAGUUGGAAAUCUGAGAUGGAAUGACCUUUGCAAACUGUACUGGGCAUCGUUGUUGGCAGCCUGCC